AGAGCCUUGGGGAGCAGAGCCUGAGGGUUGGGGUGGAAUAGCAACUCAAUGAAGAACUUUUUUGAUUUGUUUGCUCGGAUGACCGAGAUUAAAAACAGUACAACGGUGGAGGUUGAAAUAAGAGAGGUUGAGAGAGGUGAUGUCUCGGAGGGAAAGCUAGUUGCUAAGAUGCCACCUGCGGGUCGCAAAUUGAUAAGAGGGAAGAAAUUCCUGGAUCAUAGUUCUUAUACUGGUGUUCCCAGAACCGUUCAUGUCAUCGCAACUGCUAAUGGUACGAGGACCGCGACGGUCCUUCCAGCACAGUAUUUCAAUACCAACGGACGAGUCACCUUUCUUCUAGAAAAUGGAAAACUGGUGGCGGCGGCAGAAACGAUCCCCCAAAAAAGCAUCAUCAUGAGGGGUAUUGGGCGUUUAUCACACUCUUCAGGGGUAUACUCAUAAGUUUGCUGAGAACCGGAUGGAGCUCGUGGAAAUGAGUUCAAGUUGGAGAAUUUUGUGUUGGACAAGAUAUACAGUAUUUCAUGGCUUCUGUUCAGGUUUGGAUUGCAGGGAGUCGUGACAAUAUGGGCUAGUCUGUUAUUGUUUUGCUUUCAAUAAAACUGCUUUUUAAAGCAGUUAAGAGUGUUUCACAAUAUGAGUUUGUGAAUGUGAUAUCAAAGUUUUGUAAAAAAAUUUAUGUAAAAGGGAUGUGUUAUUUACUUAUUAAUAGCAAAGCCAAAAUGCCAACGAAUUCUAGCACAUUAAAAAAGAAUAUUGAUAAGUUCGAAUCCUCGUAACGUACGUUUUGAAAGUGUCGUAUUAAAAAAAA